GGAGAGGUGGCCGAGUGGUUGAAGGCACUGGUCUUGAAAACCAGCAAUCCGAAAGGAUUCGCGAGUUCGAAUCUCGCCCUCUCCGCCA
rnacentral:tRNA from 1 species